GCAGCUGAGAUGAGAGAUCAGUCUCAAACCCAUCUUCCUGACUGAAUAAAAUUAGGUGUUUAUAUGGCAGGAAGAAAUGUAACUGUGUGGAAAAAAACAGAAACUGGCGGAAGAUAGGAAAGCAAUCAUGAUGAAUGAGGAGCCUGGCAUCUCAUGUCUGAAUGCAAUAAUCUGCAAAGAGAUCCUAAAACCUUGGAAUUUCCUGAGUGAUAACAGUAUCUUUUGCAUGUUAAUGAGAUGACUCUUUGGAAUAGGAGCCAGAUGAAUUCAGGAUGUGGUCUGCGGUCAUCAAUUCAUCAAUGUGAAAACCAACCCAGAUAUUAGCAGAGAUGAGGUCUCACUAUCUUGUCAGACUGGACUUGAACUCCUAGCAACCUCAAGUAAUACUUCUUCCUCAGCUUCCUGAGUCCCCAGGAUUACAGACAUGAGGCACCGAGCUCAAGGGUUAGAUUAUGCCCAGUUACUGAACAUGAUAAAACAGCAACAACAGCAACAAAACUCCAAAUGAAAAGAUUUGGGUAAUCUUCUAUCCUCUUUUUAAGACAUCACAAGUUAAUGAUUGAUAAUUUGGGAUCGACAAUACUGCUGAGCGUUUUUCAGGAUGUGAAUCACCUUUAAACCUAGGGUAUUGCUCUGAACAUGUGGCUACUGACCCUGGGCUUAACCAUAACUUGAAUUUUACUGAGCUUCAAACACUAGUUCCAGUGAAAAAUGGAACAAAUUCUACAAACUGCUUCACACAAAUAAUGCUUCUGGAUUGCUUGUUGUGCUCACUUGCAGAGCCGAAAGAAUCAUUUUUCUUCUAAUUCUUACAGACUACAAAAUGCAUUCGUCUUUCCACCUCUAAUCCAAGCCAUACCAUUUUUCCUCUGGUGAGUAAAUGGUUUUGUGGAGUCUCUGUUGGUCAUUAUAAUCCCUGGCUUAUGAAGGCUUCAAUGCUAUCCACAACUUCUGCAUUCUUCUGUAACCUUCAGUAUAGCACUUUGUCUGUUUGUAAAUAACUGUUAGAUAGUUUAGGAUAAAGAUGUCUUAAUCUUAUCAUUACAUGACUUUAUAUAGCUAUUUAAACAUAAUAUAAUACGGGCAUAACUCUAUAUAAAAAUAAAAUGUCAAGGACAUUAAAAACAUAUAAUAUGUAAAUAAAUAUCACAAUUUUUUAAAGAAAAAUCAUAGUACAUGGUUUAAAAAUGGACUUCUUUGCAAUUUGACUCCUGCCUGUGUCCAUACUCUUAACAAUUACAAAAUGUUAAAACCUUCACUUAGUACUGUAUAUAUCAAACCCUAAGUACUUUUGAAGUUUACACCAAUUAGCACCCUACAAAAUAGUUAUUACCAUUAAUGUCAUUUGACAAAUGAAAAAGCUGAGGUACUGAGUGACUUUAAACAUAGCCUAUAACCUCACAAAAUUUCGAUUUCUCCAUUUUGAUGGAAUAUAUAUGUGUUUAAAUUUU